AUUGAACGCUGGCGGCAGGCCUAACACAUGCAAGUCGAACGAGUGGCGGACGGGUGAGUAAUGUCUGGGAAACUGCCAGAUGGAGGGGGAUACCUACUGGAAACAGUAGCUCAUACCGCAUACCAUCGGAUGAGCCCAGAUGGGAUUAGCUAGUAGGUGGGGUAACGGCUCACCUAGUCGACGAUCCCUAGCUGGUCUGAGAGGAUGACCAGCCACACUGGAACUGAGACACGGGCCAGACGCCGACGGUAGGCAGCAGUGGGGAAUAUUGCACUAUGGGCGCAAGCCUGAUGCAGCCAUGCCGCGUGUAUGAAGAAGGCCGUCGGGUUGUAAAGUACUUUCAGCGAGGAGGCGUUACUCGCAGAAGAAGCACCGGCUAACUCCGUGCCAGCAGCCGCGGGAAUG
rnacentral:rRNA from 1 species